rnacentral:rRNA from 1 species
AGAGUUUGAUCCUGGCUCAGGAUGAACGUUGGUAGCAUGCCUAACAUAUGCAAGUCGAGCGGAAAGUGAUAGCAAUAUUGCUUUUAGCGGCGUACGGGUGAGUAAUGCUUAUCUUACCUACCGUUUAGUGGGGGAUAAAAUUCCGCAUAUUCUGGUUUCGGCCAGGAAAGGAAGUCGCAAGGCUUUCGCUAAAUGACGGG